rnacentral:rRNA from 1 species
UACGUAGGGUGCGAGCGUUUGUUCGGAUUUACUGGGCGUAAAGGGCGCGUAGGCGGUCAGCACAAGUCAGUUGUGAAAUCUCCGGGCUUAACUCGGAAAGGUCAACUGAUACUGUGCGAACUAGAGUGCAGAAGGGGCAACUGGAAUUCUCGGUGUAGCGGUGAAAUGCGUAGAUAUCGAGAGGAACACCUGCGGCGAAGGCGGGUUGCUGGGCUGACACUGACGCUGAUGCGCGAAAGCCAGGGGAGCGAACGGG